CAGUGUGUCACGCUCUCAGCUUCACGACAACUGGAUGCAGGUGUUCUAUGUUCAGUAACCGGCGGUGUUGCUACAACGGUCCACUGUUUGAAAAUUGAAUAUUUGCUAAUCUGUUCAUCAUGAAGUACGUGUUGUCAGUCUGUAUCUUCACUGCUUUCUUCCUCAGCCCUGCACACUGUGGCUGCAUCGACACGUGCACUGGCGAAUAUACGUCGGCUCUCCAAGGGUUAACAACUGCAACUGCAUCGCAGAUCUGCCCCUUAAUGCAGAAGUUAAA